UUAGGAUAUUAACUCUUUGUUAUUCAUUGAGCUAGUUCUACUACUACAAACUUCCCUCACAUUUAAUACAGAAUUUACUGGCCUGACCACUUGGUUUGAUGCAUUGCCCAUUGUCUUAAAAGAAAUGUGUCUAUUUAAUGCUCAUUUAAGCCGUGCUUCAAGGAAGAAAACAUAUUUUUAUCACGAUGCUUCCUCCAGCUGAGCAGACCCUACCUUUUAGCUUACAAGCAACAUGGAUAACUAGUGCGUGUUCUAGGAAUAUUCUCUUGAGGGCAGAGACAGCAGAGACUUGACAUUUCCUUCCUCUACACUGAAGCUUUGCUGAAUUUAUAAAUUAGCACACAAAGAACUCAAAGGGAAAUAGAAGGACAUUUCUAUCUCAUCUUCCAACAAGCCUGGGACUCCUGUGGGAAAGGAGAAAUGUAUAGUUCUUGUGGGUUCCAUUCUCCUCUUAGAAGCCAUUGGUCUUCCAUUCCUCUCAAACAGAUCUGAAUCCAACUGAAAAGAGAAGGGGAAGAAAUCUGGGGUGUGGUGUGGGCAGCAGGUUGGGCUGGAAAACAGCUGUUGCAAAGCUGUCAGGAGUCUCAGGGGUAUUAUUUCAGAGUAAACUGCAAUCUCUCCAAAUG
rnacentral:lncRNA from 1 species